rnacentral:tRNA from 1 species
UGCUUGCUGGUGUAAUCGGCAACACGCCCGGCUCUGGUCCGGAAGAGUGCAGGUUCGAGCCCUGCGCAAGCAGCCA